GAUGAACGCUGGCGGCGUGCCUAAUACAUGCAAGUCGAGCGAACGGACGAGAAGCUUGCUUCUCUGAUGUUAGCGGCGGACGGGUGAGUAACACGUGGAUAACCUACCUAUAAGACUGGGAUAACUUCGGGAAACCGGAGCUAAUACCGGAUGAUAUUUUGAACCGCAUGGUUCAAAAGUGAAAGACGGUCUUGCUGUCACUUAUAGAUGGAUCCGCGCUGCAUUAGCUAGUUGGUAAGGUAACGGCUUAACAAGGCAACGAUGCAUAGCCGACCUGAGAGGGUGAUCGGCCACACUGGAACUGAGACACGGUCCAGACUCCUACGGGAGGCAGCAGUAGGGAAUCUUCCGCAAUGGGCGAAAGCCUGACGGAGCAACGCCGCGUGAGUGAUGAAGGUCUUCGGAUCGUAAAACUCUGUUAUUAGGGAAGAACAUAUGUGUAAGUAACUGUGCACAUCUUGACGGUACCUAAUCAGAAAGCCACGGCUAACUACGUG
rnacentral:rRNA from 1 species